CAACAGCUAGCUUAUCAACCCAAUAACUAAACAAUAUAAAUAAGCAACAAACCUAAGACCAAAGGGGAAACCAUUCUUUUACCUGAGUAUGGGAGACAGAAAAGGUCCCACCAAAGCAAUAGAAAUAGUACCGCAAGGGAAAGCUGAAAGAGAAGUGAGACAACCCAUAUAAGCACAAAAAAGCAAAGAUUAAAUCUUGUACCUUUUGCAUCAUGAUUUAGCCAGUACACCCAAGCAAAGAGACCUUUAGUUUGAAACCCCGAAACCAGGUGAGCUACCCCGAGACAGCCUAUUAAGGGCCAACCCGUCUCUGUGGCAAAAGAGUGGGAAGAGCUCCGGGUAGAAGUGACAGACCUACCGAACCUGGUGAUAGCUGGUUGCCUAAGAGAUGAAUAGAAGUUCAGCCUCGUGCCCCCCAAAUCAAAACACAAACAAAAUACCAAGAGAAAUACACGAGAGUUAGUUAAAGGGGGUACAGCCCCUUUAACAAAGGACACAACCUUUCCAGAAGGAUAAAGAUCAUAAUACAUAAAACAUACUGUUCUAGUGGGCCUAAAAGCAGCCACCUAAACAGAAAGCGUUAAAGCUCAGACAGAAAGAAGUUUAUUAUACCGAUAAGAAAUCUUACUCCCCUAAAUAUUAUUAGGCCAACCCAUGCUCACAUGGAAGAGACUAUGCUAAAAUGAGUAACAAGAAGGCCCGCCCUUCUCCAAGCACAAGUGUAAGCCAAACCGGACUAACCAUUGGCAACUAACGAACUCAACCCCAGAGAGCGAUGUGAACUACAAAAAAAUCAAGAAAAACCCACAACCUACCCAUCGUUACCCCCACACUGGAGUGCAUUAAAGGAAAGACUAAAAGAAAGGGAAGGAACUCGGCAAACAUAAGCCUCGCCUGUUUACCAAAAACAUCGCCUCCUGCGACACAACCGAGUAUAGGAGGUCCAGCCUGCCCAGUGACCACAAGUUCAACGGCCGCGGUAUCCUGACCGUGCAAAGGUAGCGCAAUCACUUGUCUUUUAAAUAGAGACCUGUAUGAACGGCCAAACGAGGGCUUAACUGUCUCCCCUCUCAAGUCAGUGAAAUUGAUCUACCCGUGCAGAAGCGGG
rnacentral:rRNA from 1 species